UGGUGGAUGUGGGCGAAAUGAAGGAGCGUUAGUGGUGGCCUCGAAGAAGUUCGCGGCGACGAAGAGGUGAAGGAAGCGUGAAGAGGAAAAUUUUUGUGGUGUGCCGAAGAAGAGGAGCCUUUUCUUUUUAUUUUUGGUUUUCUUUUUCAUUUUUCAAGAGAGAGCCAAGUUGAGUGCCCGUGGAAGCUAGCUGACCAUGAGAGAGAUUCCUUCUCCUCUUUUAUUUUCUUUUUCUUUUGUUUUUAGUGAGC
rnacentral:lncRNA from 1 species